UCCCUACGGGAGGCAGCAGUGGGGAAUAUUGCACAAUGGGGGAAACCCUGAUGCAGCAAUGCCGCGUGGGUGAAGAAGUACUCCGGUAUGUAAAGCCCUAUCCGCAGGGAAGAAAAUGACGGUACCUGACUAAGAAGCCCCGGCUAACUACGUGCCAGCAGCCGCGGUAAUACGUAGGGGGCAAGCGUUAUCCGGAUUUACUGGGUGUAAAGGGAGCGCAGACGGCUGUGCAAGUCUGGAGUGAAAGGCGGGGGCCCAACCCCCGGACUGCUCUGGAAACUGUAAAGCUGGAGUGCAGGAGAGGG
rnacentral:rRNA from 1 species